rnacentral:rRNA from 1 species
GUCGUAACAAGGUCUCCGUAGGUGAACCUGCGGAGGGAUCAUUACACAAAUAUGAAGGCGGGCUGGAACCUCUCGGGGUUACAGCCUUGCUGAAUUAUUCACCCUUGUCUUUUGCGUACUUCUUGUUUCCUUGGUGGGUUCGCCCACCACUAGGACAAACAUAAACCUUUUGUAAUUGCAAUCAGCGUCAGUAACAAAUAAAUAAUUACAACUUUCAACAACGGAUCUCUUGGUUCUGGCAUCGAUGAAGAACGCAGCGAAAUGCGAUAAGUAGUGUGAAUUGCAGAAUUCAGUGAAUCAUCGAAUCUUUGAACGCACAUUGCGCCCUUUGGUAUUCCAAAGGGCAUGCCUGUUCGAGCGUCAUUUGUACCCUCAAGCUUUGCUUGGUGUUGGGCGUCUUGUCUCUAGCUUUGCUGGAGACUCGCCUUAAAGUAAUUGGCAGCCGGCCUACUGGUUUCGGAGCGCAGCACAAGUCGCACUCUCUAUCAGCAAAGGUCUAGCAUCCAUUAAGCCUUUUUUUCAACUUUUGACCUCGGAUCAGGUAGGGAUACCCGCUGAACUUAAGC